rnacentral:rRNA from 1 species
GAUGAACGCUAGCGACAGGCCUAACACAUGCAAGUCGAGCGGCAGCACCUCGGGUGGCGAGCGGCGCACGGGUGAGUAACGCGUAUGUAACCUGCCCAUGAGUGGGGGAUAGCCCGGUGAAAACCGGAUUAAUACCGCAUAAUACCAUUAUUAGACAUCUUAGAAUGGUUAAAGAUUCAUUGCUCAUGGAUGGACAUGCGUUGGAUUAGCUAGUCGGCGGGGCAACGGCCCACCGAGGCUACGAUCCAUAGGGGUUCUGAGAGGAAGGUCCCCCACAUUGGUACUGAGACACGGACCAAACUCCUACGGGAGGCAGCAGUGAGGAAUAUUGGUNCAUGGGCGGAAGCCUGAACCAGCCAAGUCGCGUGAAGGAUGAAGGCAUUAUGUGUGUAAACUUCUUUAGCUGUGGAGAAAUAAGGUGGUCGAGACCACCGAUGCUAGUACACAGAGAAUAAGGAUCGGCUAACUCCGUGCCAGCAGCCGCGGUAAUACGGAGGAUCCGAGCGUUAUCCGGAUUCAUUGGGUUUAAAGGGUGCGCAGGCGGUGCCUUAAGUCAGCGGUAAAAUCGUGGGGCUCAACCCCAUCCCGCCGUUGAUACUGGGGCACUUGAUUACGGUCGAGGCAGGCGGAAUUCGUCGUGUAGCGGUGAAAUGCAUAGAUAUGACGAAGAACACCGAUUGCGUAGGCAGCCUACCAGGCCGUUAAUGACGCUCAUGCACGAAAGUGCGGGGAUCGAACA